rnacentral:sRNA from 1 species
UGACCAGCCGCCUGUUUUCUCUUCGUUUUCAGCUAGCUCGGUAGCAGGAGAUGGGACAGUAUAGUAUUAUUCCCUUGGAAGCACAGAUUCGAUCUCCCCCCGGAGUAAUGCGAUUGUGUUGAAUUCUUUGUCGGAUGCGAUGAUGUUGAAGAUUAGGCAAGGCCGUGGAGGUCGUGUAAAUCCUCUUAAGAGCGAUCGCUUUGAGCGAAACCGAGCAUUAAUUGGACGAUCCGAACGCCCCUUUAUCACCGGUUUCAAAAUCCUUUCCAGCUUCCAGUAGUUUAAACGGAAUGGAAGGUACAGUAUCGGGCACAGGACAGGGCGGAGCGGUACAGAUACGAUCCCGAUGAAAUCCAAGUGAAGUAUACGUCUAGAGCGAAGAAUAACCACUUACAAAGCGGCUCCCCUACCGUAAACUGACUCGAGAACUGCGCAAUUACGAGUUUCAAUGUAUCCCAAAGAGGAAUUUCCUCCCACUCGUCCUUGUUCGGAAUCCACCUCUCAACUGCAUUUUGCAUUUCCUUACCCAUUGGUCCCAGAUAUCUGUCAUAGCCAG